rnacentral:misc_RNA from 1 species
UUUCCGUAGGUGAACCUGCGGAAGGAUCAUUAAAGAGAAUAUGCCCUUCGGGGUAGAUCUCCCACCCUUUGUUUAUAUUACCUUUGUUGCUUUGGCAGGCCCGUCUUCGGACCACCGGCUUCGGCUGGUCAGUGCUUGCCAGAGGACCCAAAACCCUUAUUAUUAAUGUCGUCUGAGUACUAUAUAAUAGUUAAAACUUUCAACAACGGAUCUCUUGGUUCUG